rnacentral:rRNA from 1 species
AUACGGAAGGUCCGGGCGUUAUCCGGAUUUAUUGGGUUUAAAGGGAGCGCAGGCGGAGAUGCAAGCGUGACGUCAAAUUUCGUGGCUCAACCCCGUCUCGCGUCGCGAACUGCGUCCCUUGGUUGCGGGAAGGGGAGGCGGAACUUGUGGUGUAGCGGUGAAAUGCAUAGAUAUCACGAAGAACUCCGAUCGCGAAGGCAGCCUUCCGGCCCGUCAACGACGCUCAUGCUCGAAGGUGCGGGUAUCAAACAGGAUUAGAUACCCUGGUAGUCCGCACAGUAAACGAUGGACACGCGCGGUUUGGCCUGUAUGGCUGAGCCGCCAAGCGAAAGCGUUAAGUGUCCCACCUGGGGAGUACGCCGGCAACGGUGAAACUCAAAUGAAUUGACGGGG